rnacentral:rRNA from 1 species
GACGAACGCUGGCGGCGUGCUUAACACAUGCAAGUCGAGCGAGGUCCAACUUGUCGCAAGACAAGUGAAGACCUAGCGGCGAACGGGUGAGUAACACGUGAGCAACCUGCCCCGAAGACUGGGAUAACACCGGGAAACCGGUGCUAAUACCGGAUGCCCUCAGAGAGUCGCAUGGCUCAUUGAGGAAAUGGAUUCCGCUUCGGGAGGGGCUCGCGGCCUAUCAGCUUGUUGGUGGGGUAACGGCCUACCAAGGCUCCGACGGGUAGCUGGUCUGAGAGGACGACCAGCCACACUGGGACUGAGACACGGCCCAGACUCCUACGGGAGGCAGCAGUGGGAAUCUUGCGCAAUGGGCGAAAGCCUGACGCAGCAACGCCGCGUGGAGGAUGAAGGCC